rnacentral:lncRNA from 1 species
UCGUUUAGAGCAUUCCUAUAGCGAUCCCAAGUCAUUUAUGACUUGCUGGGACUGACAGUUCGGUCACCUGGUCGUUCGUUUGGUCUUGGUGCGAGUUUUUGUGUUUUGGAGCUUAUGAACCUUGAAUAAUCAUUUUCGAUCAAAAGUUCAAGAAGAUGAUAUCGGAAUCCAAUUCUGACGAUUCCAUCAGCUCCGAAAGGGUCAUUUUAGGCUAGUAGCAUGGUCGACAUGACUCCCGAGGUUUUC